UACGGAGGGAGCUAGCGUUAUUCGGAAUUACUGGGCGUAAAGCGUACGUAGGCGGCUUUGCAAGUUAGAGGUGAAAGCCUGGAGCUCAACUCCAGAACUGCCUUUAAAACUGCAUCGCUAGAAUUGUGGAGAGGUAAGUGGAAUUCCGAGUGUAGAGGUGAAAUUCGUAGAUAUUCGGAAGAACACCAGUGGCGAAGGCGACUUACUGGACACAUAUUGACGCUGAGGUGCGAAAGCGUGGGGAGCAAACAGG
rnacentral:rRNA from 1 species